rnacentral:rRNA from 1 species
AUUGAACGCUGGCGGCAGGCCUAACACAUGCAAGUCGAGCGGAUGAAGGGAGCUUGCUCCUGGAUUCAGCGGCGGACGGGUGAGUAAUGCCUAGGAAUCUGCCUGGCAGUGGGGGAUAACGUCCGGAAACGGGCGCUAAUACCGCAUACGUCCUGAGGGAGAAAGGGGGGGAUCUUCGGACCUCACGCUAUCAGAUGAGCCUAGGUCGGAUUAGCUAGUUGGUGGGGUAAAGGCCUACCAAGGCGACGAUCCGUAACUGGUCUGAGAGGAUGAUCAGUCACACUGGAACUGAGACACGGUCCAGACUCCUACGGGAGGCAGCAGUGGGGAAUAUUGGACAAUGGGCGAAAGCCUGAUCCAGCCAUGCCGCGUGUGUGAAGAAGGUCUUCGGAUUGUAAAGCACUUUUAGUUGGGAGGAAGGGCAGUAAGUUAAUACCUUGCUGUUUUGACGGUACCAACAGAAUAAGCACCGGCUAACUUCGUG